rnacentral:rRNA from 1 species
UGGGGAAUUUUGGACAAUGGGCGAAAGCCUGAUCCAGCAAUGCCGCGUGUGUGAAGAAGGCCUUCGGGUUGUAAAGCACUUUUGUCCGGAAAGAAAUCCUUGGCUCUAAUACAGUCGGGGGAUGACGGUACCGGAAGAAUAAGCACCGGCUAACUACGUGCCAGCAGCCGCGGUAAUACGUAGGGUGCAAGCGUUAAUCGGAAUUACUGGGCGUAAAGCGUGCGCAGGCGGUUUGCUAAGACCGAUGUGAAAUCCCCGGGCUCAACCUGGGAACUGCAUUGGUGACUGGCAGGCUAGAGUAUGGCAGAGGGGGGUAGAAUUCCACGUGUAGCAGUGAAAUGCGUAGAGAUGUGGAGGAAUACCGAUGGCGAAGGCAGCCCCCUGGGCCAAUACUGACGCUCAUGCACGAAAGCGUGGGGAGCAAACAGGAUUAGAUACCCUGGUAGUCCACGCCCUAAACGAUGUCAACUAGUUGUUGGGGACUUCAUUUCCUUAGUAACGUAGCUAACGCGUGAAGUUGACCGCCUGGGGAGUACGGUCGCAAGAUUAAAACUC